AAGGGCUUAGCUUAAUUAAAGUAGUUGAUUUGCAUUCAGUUGAUGUAAGAUAGAGUCUCGCAGUCCUUA
rnacentral:tRNA from 1 species